ACUAAGCAUAUCAAUAAGCGGAGGAAAAGAAACUAACAAGGAUUCCCCUAGUAACUGCGAGUGAAGCGGGAAAAGCUCAAAUUUAAAAUCUGGCAGUCUCUGGCUGUCCGAGUUGUAAUCUAGAGAAGUAAUGCCCGUGCUGGACCGUGUAUAAGUCUCCUGGGAUGGGGCGUCAUAGAGGGUGAGAAUCCCGUCUUUGACACGGACUACCAGUGCAUUGUGGUAUGCUCUCAAAGAGUCGAGUUGUUUGGGAAUGCAGCUCAAAAUGGGUGGUAAAUUCCAUCUAAAGCUAAAUAUUGGCGAGAGACCGAUAGCGAACAAGUACCGUGAGGGAAAGAUGAAAAGAACUUUGGAAAGAGAGUUAAACAGUACGUGAAAUUGCUGAAAGGGAAACGCUUGAAGUCAGUCGCGUUGGCCGGGAAUCAGCCUUGCUUUUGCAUGGUGUACUUUCUGGUUGACGGGUCAGCAUCAAUUUUGACUGCUGGAAAAAGGCCUGGGGAAUGUGGCAGCUUCGGCUGUGUUAUAGCCCCUAGUCACAUACAGUGGUUGGGAUUGAGGAACUCAGCACGCCGCAAGGCCGGGUUUCGACCACGUUCGUGCUUAGGAUGCUGGCAUAAUGGCUUUAAGCGACCCGUCUUGAAACACGGACCAAGGAGUCUAACAUGCCUGCGAGUAUUUGGGUGGAAAACCCAAGUGCGUAAUGAAAGUGAAAGUUGAGAUCCCUGUCGUGGGGAGCAUCGACGCCCGGACCAGAACUUUUGGGACGGAUCCGCGGUGGAGCAUGUAUGUUGGGACCCGAAAGAUGGUGAACUAUGCCUGAAUAGGGUGAAGCCAGAGGAAACUCUGGUGGAGGCUCGUAGCGAUUCUGACGUGCAAAUCGAUCGUCAAAUUUGGGUAUAGGGGCGAAAGACUAAUCGAACCAUCUAGUAGCUGGUUCCUGCCGAAUUCCCCUCCGG
rnacentral:rRNA from 1 species